AACGAACGCUGGCGGCAGGCCUAACACAUGCAAGUCGAGUGCGCCUUCGGGUGAGCGGCGGACGGGUGAGUAACGCGUGGGAAUAUGCCCUUCUCUACGGAAUAGUCUUGGGAAACUGGGGGUAAUACCGUAUACGCCCUUUGGGGGAAAGAUUUAUCGGGGAAGGAUUAGCCCGCGUUGGAUUAGGUAGUUGGUGGGGUAAUGGCCUACCAAGCCGACGAUCCAUAGCUGGUUUGAGAGGAUGAUCAGCCACACUGGGACUGAGACACGGCCCAGACUCCUACGGGAGGCAGCAGUGGGGAAUCUUAGACAAUGGGGGCAACCCUGAUCUAGCCAUGCCGCGUGAGUGAUGAAGGCCUUAGGGUUGUAAAGCUCUUUCAGCUGGGAAGAUAAUGACGGUACCAGCAGAAGAAGCCCCGGCUAACUCCGUG
rnacentral:rRNA from 1 species